AACGCUGAAGCCUGGUGCUUGCACCGGGUGGAUGAGUGGCGAACGGGUGAGUAACACGUGAGUAACCUGCCCCUGACUUCGGGAUAAGCCCGGGAAACUGGGUCUAAUACCGGAUACGACCGUCGGACGCAUGUCUGGUGGUGGAAAGUUUUUUCGAUUGGGGAUGGGCUCGCGGCCUAUCAGUUUGUUGGUGAGGUAAUGGCUCACCAAGACGACGACGGGUAGCCGGCCUGAGAGGGCGACCGGCCACACUGGGACUGAGACACGGCCCAGACUCCUACGGGAGGCAGCAGUGGGGAAUAUUGCACAAUGGGGGAAACCCUGAUGCAGCGACGCAGCGUGCGGGAUGACGGCCUUCGGGUUGUAAACCGCUUUCAGCAGGGAAGAAGCGCAAGUGACGGUACCUGCAGAAGAAGUACCGGCUAACUACGUGCCAGCAGCCGCGGUAAUACGUAGGGUACGAGCGUUGUCCGGAAUUAUUGGGCGUAAAGAGCUCGUAGGUGGUUGGUCACGUCUGCUGUGGAAACGCAACGCUUAACGUUGCGCGUGCAGUGGGUACGGGCUGACUAGAGUGCAGUAGGGGAGUCCGGAAUUCCUGGUGUAGCGGUGAAAUGCGCAGAUAUCAGGAGGAACACCGGUGGCGAAGGCGGGACUCUGGGCUGUAACUGACACUGAGGAGCGAAAGCAUGGGGAGCGAACAGGAUUAGAUACCCUGGUAGUCCAUGCCGUAAACGUUGGGCACUAGGUGUGGGGGGCAUUCCACGUUCUCCGCGCCGUAGCUAACGCAUUAAGUGCCCCGCCUGGGAGUACGGUCGCAAGGCUAAAACUCAAAGGAAUUGA
rnacentral:rRNA from 1 species